AUUGAACGCUGGCGGCAUGCCUUACACAUGCAAGUCGAACGGCAGCACGGGAGCAAUCCUGGUGGCGAGUGGCGAACGGGUGAGUAAUAUAUCGGAACGUGCCCAGUCGUGGGGAUAACGUAGCGAAAGCUACGCUAAUACCGCAUACGAUCUAUGGAUGAAAGCGGGGGAUCGCAAGACCUCGCGCGAUUGGAGCGGCCGAUAUCAGAUUAGGUAGUUGGUGAGGUAAAGGCUCGCCAAGCCGACGAUCUGUAGCUGGUCUGAGAGGACGACCAGCCACACUGGGACUGAGACACGGCCCAGACUCCUACGGGAGGCAGCAGUGGGGAAUUUUGGACAAUGGGCGGCAAGCCUGAUCCAGCAAUGCCGCGUGCAGGAUGAAGGCC
rnacentral:rRNA from 1 species